rnacentral:misc_RNA from 1 species
AAGUCGUAACAAGGUUUCCGUAGGUGAACCUGCGGAAGGAUCAUUAAUGAAUUUAGAUUGAACCAUAGGCGAAAGCCAGUCGGUUCUUCCUUUUCAAUUCCAUAACACCUGUGCACUGUUGGGAUGCUUGCAUCCCACUUUUAAACUAAACAUUAUUGUAACAAAUGUAGUCUUAUUAUAACAUAAUAAAA